CAAAGGGAAGAACCCAAAUUGAGAGUUGAAGCAGCGACGGUUUCCCCUUCGCCCGUCUCAUUUCCUCCGGCGAAAUCGCCACUCUACUGCGAUGCCGGAGCAUCCUCCCCCUUCCCACCUCCGAUUUCUUCUCAUUUCUUCCUUAAGUUUACUUUAUAUAUAUUUUCCCCAAAAUUUCAAAUUUCCUAAGUUGGGAGAAGCAGCGGCGCCUCAACCAUGAGGAUUUAUGUGGGUCUCCUUCUCUUUUCCUCACUACUAGAUACUUUACUUUUUAUUCUUGAAUUUUGCUACUCAUUUCUCCUCACUAAUUGUGGAAUCGAAAGAGGGGAUGGAAGAGAGGAAAAGGAAGAUCCUUAUCAAACACCACUUUAUCCAUUUCUACUUUUAGUCGACUUCUAAAUCUUGAAUCUUGGACUAUUGUAAAGUUGGAGCAGCUCUUCUUUUUUUUUUUCUAUGUAAGAUUUGUUUGUAUAUGUAAGGCUUAGUAUGGGGUAGCCGUGUACUUCCAUUAGCUUUAUAUUUUUCAUCCCAAAGUAGCAUGUGUGUU